GAUGAACGCUGGCGGCGUGCCUAAUACAUGCCAGUCGAGCGAACAGACGAGGCUCUUGCUCCUCUGACGUUAGCGGCGGACGGGUGAGUAACACGUGGAUAACCUACCUAUAAGACUGGGAUAACUUCGGGAAACCGGAGCUAAUACCGGAUAAUAUAUUGAACCGCAUGGUUCAAUAGUGAAAGACGGUUUUGCUGUCACUUAUAGAUGGAUCCGCGCCGCAUUAGCUAGUUGGUAAGGUAACGGCUUACCAAGGCAACGAUGCGUGGCCGACCUGAGAGGGUGAUCGGCCACACUGGAACUGAGACACGGUCCAGACUCCUACGGGAGGCAGCAGUAGGGAAUCUUCCGCAAUGGGCGAAAGCCUGACGGAGCAACGCCGCGUGAGUGAUGAAGGUCUUCGGAUCGUAAAACUCUGUUAUUAGGGAAGAACAAAUGUGUAAGUAACUAUGCACGUCUUGACGGUACCUAAUCAGAAAGCCACGGCUAACUACGUG
rnacentral:rRNA from 1 species